CAGCAGCUCAAGUGGUCAGGAUGAUUAUUGGGCCUAAAGCAUCCGUAGCCGGCGCUGUAAGUUUUCGGUUAAAUCUGUACGCUCAACGUACAGGCUGCCGGGAAUACUGCAGCGCUAGGGAGUGGGAGAGGUAGACGGUACUCGGUAGGAAGGGGUAAAAUCCUUUGGUCUAUUGAUGACCACCUGUGGCGAAGGCGGUCUACCAGAACACGUCCGACGGUGAGGGAUGAAAGCUGGGGGAGCAAACCGGAUUAGAUACCCGAGUAGUCC
rnacentral:rRNA from 1 species